GCCAAAAACCUAGCCCAUUGAAACUUUAUGAACCUAUAACCAUUUUGUAUAAUAAACUAAAACAUUCUACUAUUUUAGUAAAGGAGAUUAAAAAAAUCAUAAGAGCAAUAGAUGUAGUACCGCAAGGGAAAGAUGAAAUAAAAAUGAAAUAAACCUAAAGCAUAAAAAAGUAGAGAUUUUAUCUCGUACCUUUUGCAUCAUGGUUUAACUAGUCUAACCAAGCAUAAAGCAUUAUAGUUUGACUUCCCGAAACUAAGCGAGCUACUUCAAGGCAGCUUUGUGAGCGAACCCGUCUCUGUUGCAAAAGAGUGGGACGACCUUCAAGUAGGGGUGACAGACCUAACGAGCUUAGUGAUAGCUGGUUACUCAAAAAAAGGAUCUUAGUCCAACCUAAUGCUUCUCUUAAAAUUUAAAUUUACCCUGAACUUUAGAGCAAUUCGAAUAAGGUACAGCCUAUUCGAAACAGGAUACAACCUUCACUGACGGGUAACUAAUUAAGCUAAUCAACUAAGUGGGCCUAAAAGCAGCCACCUUUAAAAAGCGUCAAAGCUUAAUUGAAAAAUUCAACUAAUCCCCUUAGCCUUUAUUAACCCUCUUUCAUUAUUGAGUAAUUCUAUACCCCUAUAGAAUCUAUUAUGUUAAAACUAGUAACAAGAAGCCAAACCUUCUCUGAGCUGUAAAUGUAAACCAGAAAGGAUAACCCGCUGGUAAUUAACGCCCAUGAACCAAUAUUAGCAACCUCUCCGAGAAAACCCUAAUUUUUUGUACGUUAACCUAACACAAGAACACCCCCAGAAAGAUUUAAAGAAAAAGAAGGAACUCGGCAAAUAUAAACUCCGCCUGUUUACCAAAAACAUCGCCUCUUGAAUUAAAUAAGAGGUCCAGCCUGCCCAGUGACCCCAGUUCAACGGCCGCGGUAUCCUAACCGUGCAAAGGUAGCGUAAUCACUUGUUCUUUAAAUGAGGACUAGUAUGAAUGGCAUCACGAGAGUUUUACUGUCUCCUUUUUCUAAUCAGUGAAACUGUUCUCCCCGUGAAGAAACGAGGAUAAAUAUAUAAGACGAGAAGACCCUAUGGAGCUUUAAACUUUAUUUCAACUGCUUCCUCUUCAUAACCAGUCCCGACUUCUUUUAUUGAAUUAAGCAUCAUGAUAAUAAAUUUUAGGUUGGGGUGACCACGGAGCAUAAAAAAACCCCCGUAUUGAAUAAAAGGCCUUAAGCCCUGAACUAAGAGUUACAACUCCAAGUACUAAUAAUUUAACAUCCAUUGACCCAAUAUUUUUUGAUCAACGAACCAAGUUACCCUAGGGAUAACAGCGCAAUCUACUUUAAGAGCUCCUAUCGACAAGUGGGUUUACGACCUCGAUGUUGGAUCAGGGUAUCCCAGUGGUGCAGCCGCUACUAAAGGUUCGUUUGUUC
rnacentral:rRNA from 1 species